UACGUAGGGGGCAAGCGUUGUCCGGAUUUAUUGGGCGUAAAGAGCGUGUAGGCGGCUAGGUAGGUCCGUUGUGAAAACUCGAGGCUCAACCUCGAGACGUCGAUGGAAACCAUCUAGCUAGAGUCCGGAAGAGAAGAGUGGAAUUCCUGGUGUAGCGGUGAAAUGCGCAGAUAUCAGGAAGAACACCCGUGGCGAAGGCGGCUCUCUGGUACGUGACUGACGCUGAGACGCGAAAGCGUGGGGAGCGAACAGG
rnacentral:rRNA from 1 species